AACGAACGCUGGCGGCAGGCCUAACACAUGCAAGUCGAACGCCCUAGCAAUAGGGAGUGGCAGACGGGUGAGUAACACGUGGGAACCUUCCCUAUAGUAUGGAAUAGCCCAGGGAAACUUGGAGUAAUACCGUAUACGCCCGAGAGGGGAAAGAUUUAUCGCUAUAGGAUGGGCCCGCGUAGGAUUAGCUAGUUGGUGAGGUAAUGGCUCACCAAGGCGACGAUCCUUAGCUGGUCUGAGAGGACGACCAGCCACACUGGGACUGAGACACGGCCCAGACUCCUACGGGAGGCAGCAGUGGGGAAUAUUGCACAAUGGGCGAAAGCCUGAUGCAGCCAUGCCGCGUGAAUGAUGAAGGCCUUAGGGUUGUAAAAUUCUUUCGUCAGGGAUGAUAAUGACCGUAC
rnacentral:rRNA from 1 species